CAGGACGACCGGUCGAUCGCGUCCCGUCUCCGACGGGAUGAGGAAAGUCCGGGCUCCGCACGGCAGGACGCUGGGUAACGCCCAGGCUUCCCGCGAGGAAUCGCGGGGGGACGGAAAGUGCAACAGAAAACAUACCGCCGAUGGCCCGGCAACGGGAUCAGGCAAGGUUGAAAUGGUGCGGUAAGAGCGCACCGGGUCGCCGGUGACGGCGAUGCCUGGAAAACCCCGUCCGGAGCAAGGCCUAACAGGGGAAGGGGUUGCCUGCCCCGUCUGACCCCGGGUUGGCCGCUCGAGGUGAUGGGUAACCGUCAUCCCAGAUAGAUGAUCGACGCCCGCAAGGGUACAGAACCCGGCUUACAGGUCGCCCUGCCUU
rnacentral:RNase_P_RNA from 1 species